rnacentral:siRNA from 1 species
UUUCAUCACUUCAGGGGCAAA